CCGAAACGUCCGUUGUUGGCGAUUCAAAGUUUCAAAAGCAACUGAGUGCUGUCCUUGCUUUCAUGAAACCAUAAUACUACAACUCCAUUUCUAAAUUACGCUUAAUUGGGAAACAAUUCUGCUGCUUACCUUGCUAUGCCACAUGUAAAUUCCUUGGCUGUCGGGUGCAGCCUGCUGGCAACGACGACUAAUGUGCACACAGCACAGAAGUGUGCCCCCUCAUUACAAAUGCAUUGAACCGGAACUGAAAUCACACGCAGCCUCUAUUUUUUUAACCAAUCUGAUCGCAGUUGAUUUAGUACGUCAGACCAUUCAAAGCUCACGGCAGAAAAGAUGGCACAGGUGUGGAAGGUCGUCGAAUUCAAAGAUAGGAGCACUACCAUAGUGCCAAGCAGCUGGUUGGAGGAGGCAGGGGAGUCAUGGAAUUGUUUCUGGCCUCCUAGUUCUUAUGAUCAUAUCCGCCUCCAGAAGGCAGUCGCGCACCACCUUCCUCCAGGUGCAGCGUGGGACGUGCACGGUGACGUGAGGGUCUUGGUUAGCUGUGCAACAUAUGUUAAGGCAAAGGACUACCUGAAAAAGUCCUUACAGUGCUUAACAUCAGACAAGACCCUAUCAGAAGGAAAAGAAGGUAAAAAACAAAAAAUGUUCUCCUCUCCAGAGGUGAAUGGGGCCACACAUUCCCGCUAUCCAUCAGACCCUCCCAACCCUCUAAGCCCCUUCCUUGGAUAAACGACUCCCUUCCAGUGGCGAUUCUACAUUAGGGGCAGGUGGGGCAGUGCCCCACCAGACCCACGAGAUGGCGCUGUUGAGCAGAAGGCGCAAUCCAUUCCUACUUCGUGGCAAACUAUAUAUAUAUUUUUAUAUGCAAAGUAGCGUACAUAUUUGUGUGAAUAAACUUGAC
ensembl:lncRNA